CCAAGCUAAGAUGAGCGACUGCUGAGUCGCGGUCCUUAGCGCGUCAAGAGACAGGCUGGGUCCCUGCGGGGCAGGAGAGGCGGAGAGAGACCCUGGGAACAUCCUGGGUGGCCACACAGUAUGGCGGGACUCAGGAUGGAAGUCACCAGGACACGGAUUUAGAUUUGACUGAAUGAGUUGGACAGAAUAUUUUCCCCCAGCAGAGGAGGCAGCUACCACGUCUCCUCUAUGGAGGAAUUCAAGAACACUUCAGCUCAGAGGGCACAAUUUUCAUGGGGCUUGCAGGGCCUGCCAGAGCACCACAGCCAUGGGGUCUGAAUAGGCAACUGUUGGACUCUCUUCUGAUUCAGGGAAGCAUUUUCUAGAAACUUAUCCUUCUUGGGGAGUGAAGUCUGUGAAGUGUUCCAACCUGUUCACCUGCUGUCCUGAUGGCAUAAGAGCAGUUCUCUACGGGAUCUGCCUUGAACACUGCAUCCAUCACAUGGGAAGAAAUAGAUUGUGGUUUUGCUAGACUUUCUGUAAUAGGAAUAUUAUUUCCUGAUGGUUGUAAGACAUCUGUCCAGGUACAUUAUCCAACUGGAAAAAUAUCUCAAUAAUCGUACUUGUAGCAAUAGUCAAAAUCUCCUCCCUAGCCAUCAAAUGUAAUAUGAGCUUUAUGUCCUCUUGCACUGCCACAGAUUGCCAGGCAGAUCAGAUAAGGAUUCUUUCUGUUGCUUCAUUUCAUUCUCCUUUUAAUGACUUAAGGUUGGCUUCUGUGAUCCCUUCUUACAGAAUGUUGAAGGUACUAUUUCAGAUCCAUUUAGAGAUCAUAAAAGGAACUUUGGCCAAGAUGAUACACUCAUCUGGAACCCCAAGGGGGCUGAAGUAAUGACCUCCUUUUUACACUUCAAAUUCCUAACGAUUGUGUGUCCAAGGUUCAAGAGAUCUACAAGCUUCCUAAAGUCAUUUCCAUUGUCACUAUAUCUAGUGCUAACUAUAUAAGCUGGCAUAUGUAAUCCCAAUAAUCAUAAUUCAUGUUGAAGUAAUAUUGUGACAGUAACAUGCUUCCUUUCAAACAAA